rfam:Hordeum vulgare subsp. vulgare, WGS project CAJW01000000 data, contig: morex_contig_62175
AUACUACUCCCUCUAUCCGAAAAUAUUUGUCCUAGAAAUGGAUAUAAUGGAUGUAUCCAUAACUAAAAUAAAUUUAGAUACAUUCAUCUUUAGGACAAGUAUUUCCGGACGGGGGGAGUAUAUA